rnacentral:rRNA from 1 species
AUUGAACGCUGGCGGCAGGCUUAACACAUGCAAGUCGAGCGGAGCGAGGGUGCUUGCACCUUAGCUUAGCGGCGGACGGGUGAGUAAUGCUUAGGAAUCUGCCUAUUAGUGGGGGACAACAUUCCGAAAGGAAUGCUAAUACCGCAUACGCCCUACGGGGGAAAGCAGGGGAUCUUCGGACCUUGCGCUAAUAGAUGAGCCUAAGUCGGAUUAGCUAGUUGGUGGGGUAAAGGCCUACCAAGGCGACGAUCUGUAGCGGGUCUGAGAGGAUGGUCCGCGACACUGGGACUGAGACACGGCCCAGACUCCUACGGGAGGCAGCAGUGGGGAAUAUUGGACAAUGGGCGAAAGCCUGAUCCAGCCAUGCCGCGUGUGUGAAGAAGGCCUUUUGGUUGUAAAGCACUUUAAGCGAGGAGGAGGCUACCGAGAUUAAUACUCUUGGAUAGUGGACGUUACUCGCAGAAUAAGCACCGGCUAACUCUGUGCCAGCCGCCGCAGUAAUAC